AUUGAACGCUGGCGGCAGGCCUAACACAUGCAAGUCGAGCGAGCGGCGGACGGGUGAGUAAUGUCUGGGAAACUGCCUGUUGGAGGGGGAUAACUACUGGAAAAGGGAGCUAAUACCGCAUACCAUCGGAUGUGCCCAGCUGGGAUUAGCUUGUUGGUGGGGUAACGGCUCACCAAGGCGACGAUCCCUAGAUGGGCUGAGAGGAUGACCAGCCACACUGGAACUGAGACACGGUCCAGACUCCUACGGGAGGCAGCAGUGGGGAAUAUUGCACAAUGGGCGCAAGCCUGAUGCAGCCAUGCCGCGUGUAUGAAGAAGGCCUUCGGGUUGUAAAGUACUUUCAGCGGGGAGGCGUUACCCGCAGAAGAAGCACCGGCUAACUCCGUGCCAGCAGCCGCGGUAAUUC
rnacentral:rRNA from 1 species